ensembl:lncRNA
CAGGGCUUCAUAUAUCAUCCAAGGCCUGUAUAACAGAACAUUCUACUGCUAAAAACACACCUGCUGACGGUGUUUUCCUCGACAAACCCCCUCUGUAGAAACGUUUGAUCCUAACGUCCCGACAAAAUAAAAGCAAAUGCUGAAAUCUGCAUUUGUGGAAAAGGUGAAACAAAGAAUUCAUCAUAAAGUAAGACUUUACCGUUCACCUGUAGCGUCUCUGCUUAAUCAUUCGUGUCAGCUUAGUUGGUUGCUGAGAAAGAAACCUGAGCCUGAUCACAGAUUACCAUCACCGAAUGAGCACUAGUGACACUCAGUGGAUUAUCCAGGAACAGCCAGUCCUAAAACGUGAGGUAACAGAUGAAUUGCCUUUGAACAUAUUAAAGGGACAGAUCACUCCAACAUCAAAAUGACAUGUUUUGACCUCUGAUCCGUAGCUCCAAUUAUCCUUCUAGAUCAGGGGUAUCAAACAUGCAGCCCAGGGGCCAAAUCCCGGCCCGUCAAAGGAUCCCCCUGCCCCACUGUGCGGCUUCAGAAGGUGGGAAAUAAAAAUGCUUUGAAUUCAUUAAUAAAGUAUUUCUAUCUUUUAAAGUUGUUAGGAUUAUAAAGAAUUUAAAUACUCUUUGUUGUUUCACACUGAAGGUUUUGUACUUUUGUACAUCAGCUGUGAUCCCUAGAUUUUAACACACGUGCAAUGACAGUAGCUCAUGACUGUUGGAAAAACAGACCUGCAGGCAGCGGAGACCACUCACUGAAAAGGAGGAAUCUAUGGAUGGUAAAAUGGUAAAUGGCCUGUAUUUGUAUAGCGCUUUACUCGUCCCUAAGGACCCCAAAGCGCUUUACAUAUCCAGUCAUCCACCCAUUCACACACACAUUCACACACUUGUGAUGGCAGCUACAUUGUAGCCACAGCCACCCUGGGGCGCACUGACAGAGGCGAUGCAACUAGAGGCGGGCGGAUCGAUAUCAGUACCAGUGCUAGUAUUGGUAUGGGAUCAAUACUAAGUUAUACUCUGUUUCUACCCUCUAAAUUCCGUGUGUAGUUCACUGA